rnacentral:rRNA from 1 species
UACGUAGGGUGCGAGCGUUGUCCGGAAUUACUGGGCGUAAAGAGCUCGUAGGUGGUUUGUCGCGUUGUUCGUGAAAACUCACAACUCAAUUGUGGGCGUGCGGGCGAUACGGGCAGACUGGAGUACUGCAGGGGAGACUGGAAUUCCUGGUGUAGCGGUGGAAUGCGCAGAUAUCAGGAGGAACACCGGUGGCGAAGGCGGGUCACUGGUCCGGUACUGACGCUGAUGUGCGAAAGCGUGGGGAGCAAACAGG